rnacentral:rRNA from 1 species
AACGAACGCUGGCGGCAUGCCUAACACAUGCAAGUCGAACGAGAUCUUCGGGUCUAGUGGCGCACGGGUGCGUAACGCGUGGGAAUCUGCCCUUUGGUUCGGAAUAACAGUUGGAAACGACUGCUAAUACCGGAUGAUGACGAAAGUCCAAAGAUUUAUCGCCCGAGGAUGAGCCCGCGUAGGAUUAGCUAGUUGGUGUGGUAAAGGCGCACCGAGGCGACGAUCCUUAGCUGGUCUGAGAGGAUGAUCAGCCACACUGGGACUGAGACACGGCGCAGACUCCUACGGGAGGCAGCAGUGGGGAAUAUUGGACAAUGGGCGAAAGCCUGAGCCAGCAAUGCCGCGUGAGUGAUGAAGGCCUUAGGGUUGUAAAGCUCUUUUACCCGGGAUGAUAAUGACAGUACCGGGAGAAUAAGCUCCGGCUAACUCCGUGCCAGCCGCCGCAGUAA